rnacentral:rRNA from 1 species
UACAGAGGGGGCAAGCGUUAUUCGGAAUUAUUGGGCGUAAAGGGCGCGUAGGCGGCUUGGCAAGUGGAUGGUGAAAUCCCUCGGCUUAACCGAGGAACUGCCGUCCAAACUGCUUAGCUUGAGACCGGGAGAGGUGAGUGGAAUUCCCAGUGUAGCGGUGAAAUUCGUAGAUAUUAGGAAGAACACCAGUGGCGAAGGCGGCUCACUGGAUCGGUACUGACGCUGAGGUGCGAAAGCGUGGGGAGCAAACAGGG